rnacentral:rRNA from 1 species
GAUGAACGCUGGCGGCGUGCUUAACACAUGCAAGUCGAACGGAAAGGCGCCUGCUUGCCGGGGUACUCGAGUGGCGAACGGGUGAGUAACACGUGGGUGAACUGCCCAGCACUUCGGGAUAAGCCUGGGAAACUGGGUCUAAUACCGGAUAGGACAUUGGGUUGGAUGCCAUUGAGGAGAGUUUUUGCGGUGUGGGGUGAGUUCGCGGCCUAUCAGCUUUGUGGUGGGGUAUUGGCCUACCAAGGCAUCGACGGGUCGCCGACAUGGGAGGGUGGACGGCCACAUUGGGACUGCGAUACGGCCCAGACUCCUACGGGAGGCAGCGGUGGGGAAUAUUGCACAAUGGGCGCAAGCGUGAUGCGGCGACGCCGCGUGGGGGAUGACGGCCUUCGGGUUGUAAACACCUUUCGCUGGGGACGAAGCGAAAGUGACGGUACCUGGAGAAGAAGCACCGGCUAACUACGUG